UACGAAGGGGGCUAGCGUUGCUCGGAAUGACUGGGCGUAAAGGGCGCGUAGGCGGAUGGCACAGUCAGAUGUGAAAUUCCCGGGCUUAACCUGGGGGCUGCAUUUGAUACGUGUUGUCUAGAGUGAGGAAGAGGGUUGUGGAAUUCCCAGUGUAGAGGUGAAAUUCGUAGAUAUUGGGAAGAACACCGGUGGCGAAGGCGGCAACCUGGUCCUUGACUGACGCUGAGGAGCGAAAGCGUGGGGAGCGAACAGG
rnacentral:rRNA from 1 species